CUGGGAUCCAGUCAGAGUUCACUGAAAACGAAAGUGAAAAUUUGAUUAAACGUUUUUUUUUUCAUGUUUUAAGGCAAAUACAAAGGAUUAUUUGACCCGGGAGGAACUGUAAAGAACCAGCCAGACAGCCCGCCCGCCGAGCUGCCCACCCGGCCGAGCUGUACUUUGUGUAUGCCAACAUGCCGACACGCUGUAUUUUGUUAGUACUUCAAGAUCAUAUAAUGGAAAAUUGAAGUAUAAUUUGACGAGCCUGGUUGCUGUAGCCACAGGGGAAUUUUCAAGGACAAGAACCAGUGCUGGUAAAAAUGUGGUCUCAUGUGGUUUUCCAUACCGGCAUUCAGCAAGGAUUUCAGAGAAAGGAAUACUGUCUCCAUAUCAUGAUGUGCCAAUAAGCUUCAGUAAGCUGUGCCUUUUUCCUCCCACCGGUAGUCCUUCAAUCUGAAUCCAGGAGAUGCAGCUCUGAAUACAAUAUUUCAGGAGAAUGAAUAUUAUGUGCUGCAUAUAGCCUGCAGAUGAACUAUAUGAGUUUGAAGUCUGUUCCCCCCUCUAUCAUGCAAUGAAUAUUAAUGUCUAUGUAUGUGGUACAUGUACUGUCAGAAAACUGAAGCCUUCAUGAAGUCAAUGCCACCAUGGUAUUGAUUUAUUCAGCUCUGAUGUACUCAGCUGUGAUAUAACAUGCCUUCAAGCCACUAUCCGAAGAUCAUUCAGACGUUUUAAAUGGACCAUUGCCCUGUUGCCAUGGAAAUCAUUAUGAGGAGGAGCACACAAACUGUCACUUGUUUUGGAUAUCAGAUGUACCACAAACUGACCAUAAACUUUUCAGAUGCUCUGUUUAUUUCAUCAGCCAAUUUCGAUGUAAAUUUUACUGAAUAAUGACAAACAGUCUUACUCAUAAGCAUCUCUUACUCAUUCGUAUUCCACAACUAAACAUGCUUGCAAUUACACUGUGCCAUCUAUCAUAAUAUAGCAAUGCUGCAAUGUCCACAUUUUUUUUUGUACCAGUUUUUGCUUUAUACUGAAACUUUUAUUGAAAAUGGUGCAUAAACACUGACAACACAUCAAUGUUUCGUUCAUACAUUUGUACAUGUUCUUUCAGUGUUGAUAAUGUUGACAUAUUUCAUGUACAUUUACACAUGUGUUUAUUGCCAACCUCAUCAAAACAUGCAUCGUUUGCUCACAUACAUAUUUCCAAAACAGACAUUUACUGAAUGUAUUACUACUUUACGUUGAUUUUGAUAUGUAAAUAAAACAUUGUACUACUUGUUUGUACAACACACUUUUCAUUUGCUAUGUUGUUUGUUUUCCAUGUUCAGUCUGCAUAGAGAUGGUAUUAUCAUAUCAAUUUUUAGCUCGACUAUUCGUAGAAUAUGGAGAGCUAUACUACUCACCCAAGUGUCGGCGUCACACCUUGGUUAAGGAUUUGCGUGCAAGCACACAUAGGUUAAUAUCGCAGUAUCUCAGUUACUUCUUGAGGUAUCGCAUUGAGACUUGAUACAAUGGAACCAUCCAACCUACUUAAUUAACCAAGUUAGAUAACUCUACUUUGCAUUUAAUGCAAAUUAUAGUCUUUUAUUAUUUGACAUAGAAAUUCUGGUUAAGGUUUUGCGUGCAAGCACACAUAGGUAAAUAUCUCAUUAAGUACUUGAGGUAUUGCACUGAGACUUGAUACAAUGGUACUCAACAGUCCAAUCUACUGAAUUAACAAAGUUAUAUAACUGUAGUUUGCAUUUAAUCCAAAUAAUAGGACUUUAUUAUUCGACUUAGAAAUUCAGGUUAAGGUUUUGUGUGCAAGCACACAUAGGUUAAUAUCUCAGCAGCUACUUGAUGUAUUGCAUUGAGACAUGUUGCAAGGUACUUAACCAUCCAACCUAAUUAAUUAACCAAGUAAGAUAACUUGACUUUGCAUUUAAUGCAAAUGAUAGGCCUUUAUUAUUCGACAUAGAUAUUUUGAUUAAGGUUUUGUGUGCAAGCACACAUUAUAUAAAUACCAAAGCAACUACUUGAUGUAUUGCAUUGAGACUCAUACAAUUGUACUCAACCAUCAAACUUCCUCAUGUAAGAUAGCUCUAGUUUCAUUAAAUGCAAAUAGUUGCCCUUUAUUAUUCGACAUAGAAAUUCUAGUUAAGGUUUUGUGUGUAAGCACACAUAGGUAAAUUUCUCAGCAACUACUCGAUGUAUUGCAUUGAGACUUUAUAGAAUGGUAUUCAACCACUAAAUGUCAUUGAAUAACCAAGAUAUAUAACUGUAUUUUGCAAAUAAUUGCCCUUUAUUAUUAGACUUAAACAUUCUGGUUGAAAUUUUCCAUGUAACCACAUUUAUGUUUAUAUCUCACCACAUGAUUUGCAUUGAAAUCUUAUCUUAUCCAUGCAUGUUUCGCCAAAACUUUUCAAUCCUUACACUGAAAAGCGGCGGAAUAGUCGAGCCCGCUGUCUCUGUGCCAGCUCUUGUUCAAAAUUAACGUGAUGUUCAUUUCCAUUGUGAAACUUAUCCCUUGGGAACGUUCAAACAUAUUCUACAUACAUUAUUUUUUAUCUUAUAUACGUUCUAUAUGUAUAUAUCACGCCUAAUAAAAUUGAAGCCUGUCAA